rnacentral:misc_RNA from 1 species
ACUCAACCAAGUCGGGUUUCUGACUGAGUUGGACUUGGGUGUUGCCGAUUCUGGCUCGCCUGAAAUGUGUUAGCGGUAGAAGCAACCGAACCUGGUGUGAUAAGUUUCGCCGGUACUAGGAAGCGACGGCUGCUCAUAGCCGCCCUCGGGCACCUUUUGACUCUGACCUCAAAUCAGGUAGGACUACCCGCUGAACUUAA